rnacentral:rRNA from 1 species
AGACAGGUGCUGCAUGGCUGUCGUCAGCUCGUGUUGUGAAAUGUUGGGUUAAGUCCCGCAACGAGCGCAACCCUUAUCCUUUGUUGCCAGCGGUUAGGCCGGGAACUCAAAGGAGACUGCCAGUGAUAAACUGGAGGAAGGUGGGGAUGACGUCAAGUCAUCAUGGCCCUUACGACCAGGGCUACACACGUGCUACAAUGGCAUAUACAAAGAGAAGCGACCUCGCGAGAGCAAGCGGACCUCAUAAAGUAUGUCGUAGUCCGGAUUGGAGUCUGCAACUCGACUCCAUGAAGUCGGAAUCGCUAGUAAUCGUAGAUCAGAAUGCUACGGUGAAUACGUUCCCGGGCCUUGUACACACCGCCCGUCACACCAUGGGAGUGGGUUGCAAAAGAAGUAGGUAGCUUAACCUUCGGGAGGGCGCUUACCACUUUGUGAUUCAUGACUGGGGUGAAGUCGUAACAAGGUAACCGUAGGGGAACCUGCGGUUGGAUCACCUCCUUA